UAUAUAUGGGCGAUCCCAAAUUUUUAUUUUGGUUGUGUCUUCAAGACAGAAUUGAUGGGUGCUCGGGCCUAGCUACAUGUACACGUGGCGCAUGGCUAUUGGGGUGCGAGAUGGAACGUGGAGUAGUCUAGUAGUAAGCAGGACACGUACGCGAGCACGGAGAACCGUCGACCUCACACAUGGAUGCAUGCACCGCCGUUGCAUGCGUG
rnacentral:lncRNA from 1 species